AUACCAUGAUAAGGACAUCUCUUAAAUAACUUUUUGAAUCUUUCCCAUGCAUCAUACAACUUUUAUCUUCAAGCUGAUGGAAAGAAGUGAUCUUAUUGCUCAAUUU
rnacentral:snoRNA from 1 species